rfam:Chamaesiphon minutus PCC 6605, complete genome.
GGGUCGAUGGCCGAGUGGUUAAUGGCGGCAGACUGUAAAUCUGCUGGGAGACCUACGCUGGUUCAAAUCCAGCUCGGCCCA